AAAAUGACCGGGUUUUGCUCAAGUGACGUGAAUCGGCGUUUGCACACAGAUACUGCAGAAAGCGUAGGCUGUCUUUUAGGGUAUGACCACACAAUCGGGUAGUGUCGCUAUCUGAAGAAGAUCUCUGAAAAUCUCGAAGGCCUUUGUAGCAUGUGAAACGACACAUUUCUCGUCCUCCUGUUUUGCCGCAUUCUCCGGGUUUUGCGAGGACUUUCGCUGUAAUCCAGUUAUUUGUGCUUACUAGAAUUCAGUUCGUGGGAGAUCCUACCGUUGUACGCCUCGCCGUAAUAGAAGAAUCGAGACCCAAAGAUGGCGGAGUCAGAUGCCAAUUGUAGUUUCUGCCUUUCGCUUUUUGACUAUUGGCCGAUGCCGUGUGACCUGUGGCAUGACCAUCUCUACUGCAGUAAUGCUAGUGGUGGGCUCUUGAUGUGCUUCUUAUAGCUGCUGGCACUGGGAACAGUCAUACAAGGGAGACUGAUGCAAACGUUGAAUGGCACACUUCUUGCACAUUAAAUGGUUGCAUUGGAGUUCAACUGGGAUGUUGACAACUUUUCACACAGGGUGCACUUGAACGAGUCAAACAGGGCUUCUGGUGCUACUGUUUCUAUUUGUUGGAUUAGGUCAGUCAAUUUGAUUGCUGACUGACCUGUGAGAACAAGCUGAUUCUUUUUUCAAUUUUUGGGUGGUCUUCCUUCUUUCUUCUGUUGCUGACAACUACAGCAGGUGUUGCAGUUUUCUGAGUAUACCAUCCACUCUCUGCAGAAAGGUACAAGAAUAGAGGCUCCUUGCCUCUUUGUAAAUCAAUGCAUCACUAGAUGGCAGCGGACACAGAAAUUGGUAGGAUACACAGAAAUUGGUAGGAUGCACAGAAACAUUAUCUGCUCCAACAUCUGUCUUGUACAAUUGGAGAAUCCUGUUUUUGUGGUCUAGACAUUUGUACUGACAUCCUCUCGAUUGAACCUGGGGGCACAUAACCUGCGAAGCUCUCGUACGGAAAGGAUGUGAUGUGCCAUAUCCAUAGACUAGACUGACAGCACUUGUAUACUGGUUAACUGUUUCUGUAUACGUCUUAAGUAGUGUAUGGAGUAAGGAAAGGGCAUGAGAGAAUGAUGAGGUAAAGAACUGCUACACGUGUACCAUUCAAAUUCAAGGAACCGGUGUUGGUACACCAUUAGCAAGUUUUUGUGGCAAAGUUUAUUUUACCAUAGAUACGAUUUUACUUAUAUCCCAAGUUGCUAAGAAUAAUAUCUCUAGGCACGUGACCUAGGCCAUCUUGUCAUAUUCUAGUGCUAUUUUAGUAUAAAAUGACCAUGUUUCCGUUCUUGUGUCACCAUAACUUAUUUGUCCGCGUUCCCUGUCUCUGACGUUGAUUAGGUCGUCGCUCGUACAAACCUGCAGUCGAUCCUUGCAAAUUAAGUUCUCCAGGAGACC